GUCGAGCGACAGACAAGGAGUCUUGCUCCUUUGACGUUAGCGGACGGACGGGUGAGUAACACGUGGGUAACCUAGCCAUAUGAAGACUGGGAUAACUUCGGGAAACCGGAGCUAAUACCGGAUAAUAUUUCAGAACCGCAUGGUAUCGAUAGUAGAAAGAUGGUUUUGCUAUCACUUAUAUGAUGAGACCCGCGCCGUAUUAGCUAGUUGGUAAGGUAACGGCUUACCAAGGCGACGAUACGUAGCCGACCUGAGAGGGUGAUCGUGCCACACUGGUAACUGAGUACACGGUGCCAGACUCCAUACGGGAGGUCAUGCAGUAGGGAAUCUUCCGCAAUGGGCGAAAGUCGCUGACGGAGCAACGCCGCGUGAGCUGAUGAAGGUCUUCGGAUCGUAAAACUCUGUUAUUAGGGAAGAACAUACGUGUAAGUAACUAUGCACGUCUUGACGGUACCUAAUCAGAAAGCCACGGCUAACUACGUGCCAGCAGCCGCGGUAAUACGUAGGUGGCAAGCGUUAUCCGGAAUUAUUGGGCGUAAAGCGCGCGUAGGCGGUUUUUUAAGUCUGAUGUGAAAGCCCACGGCUCAACCGUGGAGGGUCAUUGGAAACUGUAAAACUUGAGUGCAGAAGAGGAAAGUGGAAUUCCAUGUGUAGCGGUGAAAUGCGCAGAGAUAUGGAGGAACACCAGUGGCGAAGGCGACUUUCUGGUCUGUAACUGACGCUGAUGUGCGAAAGCGUGAGGAUCAAACAGGAUUAGAUACCCUGGUAGUCCACGCC
rnacentral:rRNA from 1 species